GUAGGUGAACCUGCGGAAGGAUCAUUACAGAGUUCAUGCCCUCACGGGUAGAUCUCCCACCCUUGAAUAUUAUACCUUCGUUGCUUUGGCAGGCCGUGGAAACACCAGAGGCUCCGGCUGAUGCGUGCUUGCCAGAGGACCUAAACUCUGUUUGUCUAUAAUGUCUGAGUACUAUAUAAUAGUUAAAACUUUCAACAACGGAUCUCUUGGUUCUG
rnacentral:misc_RNA from 1 species